rnacentral:rRNA from 1 species
UACAUGGGGUGCAAACGUUGCUCGGAAUUAUUGGGCGUAAAGCGCACGUAGGCGGUUCGUUAAGUCGGAUGUGAAAGCCCUCGGCUCAACUGAGGAAGUGCACCCGAAACUGGCGAGCUUGAGUACGAAAGAGGAUCGCGGAAUUCCCGGUGUAGAGGUGAAAUUCGUAGAUAUCGGGAGGAACACCGGUGGCGAAGGCGGCGAUCUGGGCAGACACUGACGCUGAGGUGCGAAAGCGUGGGGAGCAAACAGG